UACGUAGGGAGCAAGCGUUGUCCGGAAUCAUUGGGCGUAAAGCGCGCGUAGGCGGCCCCGUAAGUCCGCUGUGAAAGUCAAAGGCUCAACCUUUGAAAGCCGGUGGAUACUGUGGGGCUAGAGUCCGGAAGAGGCGAGUGGAAUUCCUGGUGUAGCGGUGGAAUGCGCAGAUAUCAGGAGGAACACCGAUUGCGAAGGCAGCUCGCUGGAACGUAACUGACGCUGAGACGCGAAAGCGUGGGGAGCAAACAGG
rnacentral:rRNA from 1 species